rnacentral:rRNA from 1 species
AUUGAACGCUGGCGGCAGGCUUAACACAUGCAAGUCGAGCGGAGAUGAGGUGCUUGCACCUUAUCUUAGCGGCGGACGGGUGAGUAAUGCUUAGGAAUCUGCCUAUUAGUGGGGGACAACAUUCCGAAAGGAAUGCUAAUACCGCAUACGUCCUACGGGAGAAAGCAGGGGAUCUUCGGACCUUGCGCUAAUAGAUGAGCCUAAGUCGGAUUAGCUAGUUGGUGGGGUAAAGGCCUACCAAGGCGACGAUCUGUAGCGGGUCUGAGAGGAUGAUCCGCCACAUUGGGACUGAGACACGGCCCAGACUCCUACGGGAGGCAGCAGUGGGGAAUAUUGGACAAUGGGGGGAACCCUGAUCCAGCCAUGCCGCGUGUGUGAAGAAGGCCUUAUGGUUGUAAAGCACUUUAAGCGAGGAGGAGGCUACUGAGACUAAUACUCUUGGAUGGUGGACGUUACUCGCAGAAUAAGCACCGGCUAACUCUGUGCCAGCCGCCGCGGUAACAC